UCAAAUGUUCUUAUUCCUUAUUCCUGUAAGUUCAUUGAGAGAGACAAUGUGGACAGGAUAACAAUUUUUCACAGAGCACGAUGUUUGUUUUGCAUGAGCAAAGAUAGGUAAACAUCUCUCUUAAUCUCUUUUGUCUUUGGAAAUCCAACAAGAUUAAUUUUUAGCUGAGUAACACAGUUGGAAGGGAAUUUUGGAGGACUUCUACUCCAACCCCCUGCCCAAGCAUGAGGCCCUGUAAUAUUUUACAUAAAUGGUUAUCCAAACUCUUCUUACAAGAUUCCAGCAAUAGAGCACCCUCAACUUCUGAAGGCAAGACAUCCCACUGAUUAAUUGUUCCAGCUUUCAUGAAAUUUCUCCUUAAUUCGAGCUUGGUCCUCUCCUUAAUGAGUUUCCAUCCAUUGUUUCUUGUCCUGCUUUCUGGUGCUUUGGAGAGUAGGUGAUCCCUGUCUUCUUUGUUGGAGCCCCUCAGAUAUUGGAAGACUGCUAUCAUGUCUCCCCUAGACCUUCUUUUCAUGAAAUUAGA